ACAACAAUUUAAAACUAUAUUACAACCUAAAUAUUUUCAUCAUAUUCAAAGUUCAAGCAACUAAUCCUAUUCCUACACAUUGCUGAAAAUGAAAAAGAAUAUCAAAAGCAAUAAAAAAUUUGUAGCUCAGUGAAAACAAAGUAGCAUCAUCAACAAUCAGAAACUUUUCCAAUUCUAACCUGUAAGGAGAAUCGCAGCCGAAUGAAGCGAGAAUCACGAUUUCAGCAGAAGAAGCAGCGGUUUAGGGUUUUUAAUUUGCUAAAAGAAAGAUUUGAUUUAGGAAUUUUUUGGGUUAGGGUUCUUCGUUUUAGGUUUCUAUCAAACAAAUAAUCCGGGUAUAAAAUCCGGGUUUUUUCAUUACCCGGUUCGGGUUAUAAACCAUAUAAUGGAUUUGAGUUGGGCUUUUUUUGGUCCAUUUCGUAAAAUUUGGUAUUGUUAACCAAAAAGGAACCAUUUUUAUUUUCUUGUAAUUAGUUUUUGUUGAAAUGUAGAAACUUUUCAAAUUGAGAAUGAGUGCAAGUAGUUUGGUAGCAGAUAAAGUUUGGAAGCAAAUUGAAUCUACACACACAGUGAAUGAUGAUCAACUUUAUAUUUUACAUUUCUUAUUUGGUAAGAACUUUGAAGGAGCUACUAGAAUUGUGGAUCAAAGAGGUGUUAAGAGGAUUUCUGGUAACCCCAGUGGAAGGUUUAUCUUUCAGAAUCUAGCACCGACACUUUAGAUUAAAGGCGUGUCCAACACAUUGGUGUCCGACAUUGAAUGCAGUUACAGGGGAAUCCAGGAAAAAAGACCAGUAUCUAUGUUUUGCUGAAAACUUUUGCGCUUGUUAUUCUUUCUUCUAUGAUGUUGUCAACAGAGGGGAACAACUUUGUUGUAAACAUCAAUUAGCAGCAAGACUUGCUGCAUCGUUGGGAUCGUAUGUCGAAGUUAAGGUGUCUGAUGAGGAGCUAGCUUUGUUGCUGUCCAAAAUAUAGCUAUUGCAUUUGUGAAACACAAAUUAUUUUUGAUAUAGAAUUUAAUGGGGCAAUGAAAAUCUCGUUGGACAUGGUAACUGUGAUGAUCUCGAGAGCUCAAGAGCUUGUAUGGUAUGACUUUUUCUUCGAAAAGAACACUUUAUUAUCGCAAAAAAGCGUGAUUAGAUUGGCUCUUGAAAAGAAACGAAAAGCUGAAGUACCAAAAGCCAUUAGAUAUACUUUUCCUGUUAAUUGUUGAUGUGAAAACUUGUAUAGUGACUUCUGUUAAGUCCAUGAUUUGUAAUGCUUUAUGCCUGUAUAGAAUUUUAAUUUCUCAACCAUUAAUGGUUAUAUACUUCCUACAUUAUAUUUAUAAUUAACUUUAACAUUUGCACG